rnacentral:rRNA from 1 species
UGAGGAAUAUUGGUCAAUGGGCGAGAGCCUGAACCAGCCAUGCCGCGUGCAGGAUGAAGGCCUUCUGGGUUGUAAACUGCUUUUAUCAGGGAAGAAAAGCUCGAUUUCUAUUGAGACUGACGGUACCUGAGGAAUCAGCACCGGCUAACUCCGUGCCAGCAGCCGCGGUAAUACGGAGGGUGCAAGCGUUAUCCGGAUUCACUGGGUUUAAAGGGUGCGCAGGCGGGCUAUUAAGUCCGUGGUGAAAUCCCGGGGCUCAACCCCGGAACUGCCAUGGAUACUAUUAGUCUUGAAUGUUGUUGAGGUGGGCGGAAUAGGUCAUGUAGCGGUGAAAUGCAUAGAUAUGACCUAGAACACCGAUUGCGAAGGCAGCUCACUGGACAAAUAUUGACGCUCAGGCACGAAAGCGUGGGGAUCAAACAG